rnacentral:rRNA from 1 species
UUGUCGAAUCCUCUGCGAUAGCAGAAUGACCCGUUAACACGUAAAAACACUGGGCAAGCGACGGGGGACUAGGGUUCCCUGUUUGCUAACCUCAGGCAGGUGUCCCCUAUAGGGUGUCCACCGGCCUACGAAAUAAACCGGGCGCGGAAUGCGCCAAGGAAAUCAAUACUGAAUUGUACGCACACUUCCCGUUCGCGGGCAGCGGCGUCAUUCCGAAACACAAACGACUCUCGGCAACGGAUAUCCCGGCUCUUGCAUCGAUGAAGAACGUAGCGAAAUGCGAUACUUGGUGUGAAUUGCAGAAUCCCGUGAACCAUCGAGUCUUUGAACGCAAGUUGCGCCCGAAGCCUGUAGGUUGAGGGCACGUCUGCCUGGGUGUCACGCAUCGUGUUGCCCCCGACCACACACUUCUUUUGGAUGUGUGGCGGUUUGGGGGAGGAUAUUGGCCUCCCGUGCCUUGUUGUGCGGCUGGCGCAAAAAUGAGUCAUUGGUGAUGGACGCCGCGACAUCGGUGGUUGUAAGAAGACCUUCUUGUCUUGUCGCGUGAAUGCCCGUCACCUUAGUCAACUCAAGGACCCUUAGGCGCCACAACAUGUGUGUGCUUCGAUUGUGACCCCA